CAAUAGCGUAUAUUAAAGUUGUUGCAGUUAGAACGCUCGUAGUCGGAUUUCGGGGCGGGCCGACCGGUCUGCCGAUGGGUAUGCACUGGUCGGCGCGUCCUUCCUUCCGGAGCCCGUCCCUACUCUUAACUGAGCGGGGGCGGGAGACGGGACUUUUACUUUGAAAAAAUCAGAGUGUUUCAAGCAGGCAGCUCGCUCUUGCAUGGAUUAGCAUGGGAUAAUGAAAUAGGACUUUGGUGCUAUUUUGUUGGUUUCGAACACCGAAGUAAUGAUGAGAAGGGACAGUCAGGGGCACUCGUAUUCCGCCGAGAGAGGUGAAAUUCUCAGACCAGCGGAAGACGAACCACUGCGAAAGCAUUUGCCAGGGAUGUUUUCACUGA
rnacentral:rRNA from 1 species